CUACAAUGAAUGAUGAAAGUUUUUUUAGACUAGAGUCUCUGAAAAAAUUGAUGACACAACCCUUGGCUGUCUGACAUUGUAG